rnacentral:rRNA from 13 species
UUAAUCGAAAGCUUUCAAAUUUAACCAAAGAAAAAGAAUAUCGAAAUAAAAUAAUUAUUUUAUGAAAAA